rnacentral:lncRNA from 1 species
CAGCUGCCAAUCUCUCCAGCAAGAUUGACAAAGGCUGAAAUUCUGACCUUCAAAUAUAGAGACAAAUUGCUGAACAUGAUCCUGCUAAAGGGAACUCUCAGUUUCCUUGCAUUGGAAGGGAAAUAAUGCUCCAUUCUACACUGGCCUUGUCCCUCCUGCUAAUUGCAGUCACUUCCAACCUUGCCAUGGCAAUUAAAAAGGAAAAACGAGCGCCUCAGACCCUGUCAAGAGGGUGGGGAGAUGAAAUUACAUGGGUACAAACUUAUGAAGAAGGACUUUAUCAAGCAAAGAAAA